rnacentral:rRNA from 1 species
AUGAACGCUGGCGGCGUGCCUAAUACAUGCAAGUCGAGCGAAUGGAUUAAGAGCUUGCUCUUAUGAGGUUAGCGGCGGACGGGUGAGUAAACACGUGGGGUAACCUGCCAUAAGACUGGGAUAACUCCGGGAACCGGGGCUAAUACCGGAUAACAUUUUGAACUGCAUGGUUCGAAAUUGAAAGGCGGCUCGGCUGUCACUUAUGGAUGGACCCGCGUCGCAUUAGCUAGUUGGUGAGGUAACGGCUCACCAAGGCAACGAUGCGUAGCCGACCUGAGAGGGUGAUCGGCCACACUGGGACUGAGACACGGCCCAGACUCAUACGGGAGGCAGCAGUAGGAAUCUUCCGCAAUGGACGAAAGUCUGACGGAGCAACGCCGCGUGAGUGAUGAAGGCUUUCGGGUUCGUAAAACUCUGUUGUUAGGGAAGAACAAGUGCUAGUUGAAUAAGCUGGCACCUUGACGGUACCUAACCAGAAAGCCACGGCUAACUACGUGCCAGCAGCCGCGGUAAUACGUAGGUGGCAAGCGUUAUCCGGAAUUAUUGGGCGUAAAGCGCGCGCAGGUGGUUUCUUAAGUCUGAUGUGAAAGCCCACGGCCAACCGUGGAGGGUCAUUGGAAACUGGGAGACUUGAGUGCAGAAGAGGAAAGUGGGAAUUCCAUGUGUAGCGGUGAAAUGCGUAGAGAUAUGGAGGAACACCAGUGGCGAAGGCGACUUUCUGGUCUGUAACUGACACUGAGGCGCGAAAGCGUGGGAGCAAACAGGAUUAGAUACCCUGGUAGUCCACGCCGUAAACGAUGAGUGCUAAGUGUUAGAGGUUUCCGCCCUUUAGUGCUGAAGUUAACGCAUUAAGCACUCCGCCUGGGGAGUACGGCCGCAAGGCUGAAACUCAAAGGAAUUGACGGGGGCCCGCACAAGCGGUGGAGCAUGUGGUUUAAUUCGAAGCAACGCGAAGAACCUUACCAGGUCUUGACAUCCUCUGAAAACCCUAGAGAUAGGGCUCUCCUUCGGGAGCAGAGUGACAGGUGGUGCAUGGUUGUCGUCAGCUCGUGUCGUGAGAUGUUGGGUUAAGUCCCGCAACGAGCGCAACCCUUGAUCUUAGUUGCCAUCAUUAAGUUGGGCACUCUAAGGUGCCUGCCGGUGACAAACCGAGGAAGGUGGGGAUGACGUCAAAUCAUCAUGCCCCUUAUGACCUGGGCUACACACGUGCUACAAUGGACGGUACAAAGAGCUGCAAGACCGCGAGGUGGAGCUAAUCUCAUAAAAACCGUUCUCAGUUCGGAUUGUAGGCUGCAACUCGCCUACAUGAAGCUGGAAUCGCUAGUAAUCGCGGAUCAGCAUGCCGCGGUGAAUACGUUCCCCGGGCCUUGUACACACCGCCCGUCACACCACGAGAGUUUGUAACACCCGAAGUCGGUGGGGUAACCUUUUGGAGCCAGCCGCCUAAGGUGGGACAGAUGAUUGGGGUG